CCAAGAGCUUCCCCUCUCGGCUCUGCACCGCCUUUUCCUCUGCAGGAAGCCUGCCCUAGCUGCCUCUCCACCACCCCAGCGCAGCCUUACACGCUGUAACCACCAGGCACGUGCCCAGGGUCUGCUGAUUGCCCAGCACAUGAGAGCCCGGCAGAUUUCAGCGCAGCCCAAUUAAAGGUGCUCCAGAGGAUAAAAAUAGCGUCUGAUUUCAGAAGGGCCCCUUCCCUGAGACCCCUACAGCGCCUCCUGUGAUCAAAGCUGGGUGAGGAGGCCCCCAAGCUCAUUUUCCUUCACCUUCCGUGCACUCAAAUCCGUUUCAUCUCUGCUGUCCUGCUCCCUGCACUUAAAUCAGCUCUGUCCUUUCUGCCCAAGGAGAAACAGAAAUCAGGAGCCAGGCAGUGAUUUGUGGAAGCCUGGAUGUGGGUGAGGAGAGGGGGCAGCUGGCGAGUGAGGACAGGGUGACCUGGACACGCUCCCUUCUUGGCCACCGCAAUCACCGUGCACUGGGGGCAGGACUGGGCUUCCUCCACCAGGCCACCACGGGAGGAGGCUCUCAUUAUGUGCACUUUAAGGGGCCCUGGGUGGGCUGCAAAGUGCUGAGCCUGAGAAUGUGAAAUCGUAGCUGGGGAGCAGCCUCUCACCCAGUGCGCUCACAAUGGAGACGAGAUUGGGCCCAGAUGGUGAGCUGUGUGCUGAAAGGGGUCUGUCUCGUGCACUGCACUUGACCUACCACCGAGCCCAGUGCCAGGCACAUAGCAGGGACUCAGGUGCCAGUCUAUGGAUAGUGGACAGGGUGGAGUCUGUCUGCCAGCACAGGUCACCUGAAAUCGAUUCAAUGGGUCAUGACCAGUGUUCUUGAGAAAGGAAGAAGAAAAAAGGAAAAUAUAGACUCGAAACCACCUAGAGGUAGAGGGCCCUGGUUCAGAGCCCUCUGCUUGGUUUUACCACACCUGUGUUGUCUAAGGAGGCAUCGAACACCCCAGAGCCCCCCCAGGUCCUGCAGCACCUGCCUGCGCGCCAACCCCCACAGCCUGCCCUGGGGAGGCCGGGGGCCGACCCCCUCCUGUCUGUGCCCCGCAGCAUCCUCAGAGCUCCACUUCUCAGGACGACAAUGCAUCACGCCAUCCUGGACCGGUGCGAGCUGGCGCUUUGCCUGUUCCCACGGGAACCCAUAUCCUGGGACAGCAGGCACUUCCCCCUCAUGCUGAACCACAGGGCCGGAAAUGGGACCUGCACACAGGGAGGGUGAAAAAGAAAGCAUAUGGUACCUGCUCCCAAGAAGCUUCUAGCAUAAGGAGGGAGGAAAACCAAACACAUGGAGGCCCUCGGGUAAAGCGUGGACCCGGGAAGGUUAAAUCCUGUGCCCCAGCCCGGGCCGGGUGCUGGACUUGCAUAGGCGGGCUGUGCAGCUGCCCGGGCCCACCACCUACCAGGUAGGGAGUUGCACCACAGACCAGACCCCGGCUUCUUCAGCUCCACCAUGGGACACACUGCGCAAGCUCCAUGAGAACCUCCCGGAUGGACGGCGGCUGGCCCAUGGGGGGCAGCCAGCAGGGUCAGGAGGGCGGGCCUGGGAUUUGGUCCCUGGGAGAGGAGGGGGCUGUGGUCGGGGCCCCCAGAAGGCCUCCCAGAGUAGGAGCUUUGAGCUGGGGCCUGUGGACGGUGUUGAAAGCAGGGUGUGGCUGGGAAGCCCAGAAGGAUCUGGCCGAGCUCACUUCUCCACCAAACCCCCCAGGAUGGCGUGGAGCAUCCGCGGAGCCCCAGGGAAGCCGCAGCCCCAUCUGCUCCAGCAGAACACGGCCGCCACGCCCCCAGCCGGGCACCCCAGCCACUACCGCACCAUCGCUGUCCAUGCUUCCUGCUAAACCCCCUGGCCACCCUCACACAGCCACAGGGGCCAGGACCGGGGAGGCUGGGCCACUGCCUCUCUC